rnacentral:rRNA from 1 species
GAUGAACGCUGGCGGCGUGCCUAAUACAUGCAAGUCGAGCGAACAGAUGAGGAGCUUGCUCCUCUGACGUUAGCGGCGGACGGGUGAGUAACACGUGGAUAACCUACCUAUAAGACUGGGAUAACUUCGGGAAACCGGAGCUAAUAACGGAUAAUAUAUUGAACCGCAUGGUUCAAUAGUGAAAGACGGUUUUGCUGUCACUUAUAGAUGGAUCCGCGCCGCAUUAGCUAGUUGGUAAGGUAACGGCUUACCAAGGCAACGAUGCGUAGCCGACCUGAGAGGGUGAUCGGCCACACUGGAACUGAGACACGGUCCAGACUCCUACGGGAGGCAGCAGUAGGGAAUCUUCCGCAAUGGGCGAAAGCUUGACGGAGCAACGCCGCGUGAGUGAUGAAGGUCUUCGGAUCGUAAAACUCUGUUAUUAGGGAAGAACAAAUGUGUAAGUAACUAUGCACGUCUAGACGGUACCUAAUCAGAAAGCCACGGCUAACUACGUG